rnacentral:rRNA from 1 species
AGUGGCGAACGGGUGAGUAACACGUGGGCAACCUGCCCAAAAGAGGGGGAUAACACUUGGAAACAGGUGCUAAUACCGCAUAACCAUAGUUACCGCAUGGUAACUAUGUAAAAGGUGGCUAUGCUACCGCUUUUGGAUGGGCCCGCGGCGCAUUAGCUAGUUGGUGGGGUAAAGGCUUACCAAGGCAACGAUCAGUAGCCGGCCUGAGAGGGUGAACGGCCACAUUGGGACUGAGACACGGCCCAAACUCCUACGGAAGGCAGCAG